UCACCCGACAUGUGAGGUAGCUUGGUAGUUAUCGGUAACUCGGCUAACCCACUAUUUGGAAAUUGAUCUAUUUUAUUAUUUAAAUAAUAUUUUCUGAAACGGAUCUUAAAACGGGAACUCAAUAGACUUGUAAUAAUUGUGCACUGUUACCUUUUGGGUAUUUUUGUGUUGUUCUGGAUUAUUUAAUUCUGACGUGUUAUUUGUGCUAGUCUUAUGUGGUGUCUAGUACUCUCUAGAGUUAGGGUCUGUUUUUAAUAAUUAUUUUAUUUGUCUAGACCCGACUACUGUUCGUGCUUCAGAGGCGAAUCAGGAUUAGUGGCUUGUCGGUUAUCACGUGGAUUAGCAAGCAGGUUAUGAUCUGAGAGAGUCUGGUGAUCUCCGCAUUUACUUUUCCUCGGAGGUUCCUUUUAUUUUAAUAAACUGUAAAACUGUUUUAUUCUUAGACCGCAGUAGUUGACUAGACGUCUUUAUUAUUAUAACAGUUGUUUGUCGGAUUGGUCUGACUAGUUA